AUGUAUGAUGCAAUGGUUCAUAGUGAGGUUCCGGUUGAUAACAGAAAAUUGUGGAAGCUCAAGAUUCCUCUAAGGGUGAAGAUAUUCUUCUGGUUACUAAAUAGUGGGGUCAUCUUAACUAGAAAUAAUUUGGCACGACGCACCUGGGAGGGUAGCAAGCAAUGUGUCUUUUGCCAACAUAACGACUUUAUUAAACACUUAUUUUUUGAGUGUAAGUUUGUUCGGACAGUUUGGGCCAUAGUUCAAGUAGCUUCAAACUUAUACCCCCCACGUAGUGCAUGUAACAUGUUCGGCAACUGGUUGCGGGGAAUCGAUAAACAAUUUUCUGCACACAUUAUUGCGGGGGCGGCUGCCUUAUGCUGGGCAUUGUGGCUUACCAGGAAUGAUGUGGUUUUCAAUAAUAAGUGUGUUUCAUCUCCUAUGCAGGUUAUUCAUAUAUGUACGCGAUGGCUCCAUACUUGGUCUAUCCUGUAG
rnacentral:rRNA from 1 species